GUAACGGCGAGUGAAGCGGUAACAGCUCAAAUUUGAAAUCUGGCUCCUCGGGGCCCGAAUUGUAAUUUGUAGAAGAUGCUUUGGGUCUGGGCCUGGCCUAAGUUCCUUGGAACAGGACGUCGUAGAGGGUGAGAAUCCCGUAUGCGGCUGGCGCCCGUGCCCGUGUAAAGCUCUUUCAACGAGUCGAGUUGUUUGGGAAUGCAGCUCUAAAUGGGUGGUAAAUUUCAUCUAAAGCUAAAUAUUGGCCAGAGACCGAUAGCGCACAAGUAGAGUGAUCGAAAGAUGAAAAGCACUUUGGAAAGAGAGUUAAACAGUACGUGAAAUUGUUGAAAGGGAAGCGCUGGCAACCAGACUUGGGCGCUGUUGAUCCGCUAGGGUUCUCUCUAGGGCACUCGGCAGUGCGCAGGCCAGCAUCGGUUUGGGGGGUUGGAGAAUGGCUGGUGGAAUGUGGCUGUCUUUGGGCAGUGUUAUAGCCACCGGUGGCAUGCAGCCUCCCCGGACCGAGGACCGCGCUUCGGCUAGGAUGCUGGCGUAAUGGUUGUCAGCGACCCGUCUUGAAACACGGACCAAGGAGUCUAACAUCUAUGCGAGUGUUUGGGUGUUAAACCCAUACGCGGAAUGAAAGUGAACGUAGGUGAGAACCCGCAAGGGUGCAUCAUCGACCGAUCCUGAUGUCUUCGGAUGGAUUUGAGUAAGAGCAUAGCUGUUGGGACCCGAAAGAUGGUGAACUAUGCCUGAAUAGGGUGAAGCCAGAGGAAACUCUGGUGGAGGCUCGCAGCGGUUCUGACGUGCAAAUCGAUCGUC
rnacentral:rRNA from 1 species